ensembl:snRNA
UUACCAAUAACACGGAGAGAAGGUUAGCACUUCUCUGGACAGGGACGGAGGAGACCCUUGGCUCUGACAACAGCAUAUGGUUAAGGCACUGCCAUCUACUUGGUGGCAUCUAACCAUCGUUUUUA